AUCAACAGAUAGGAAACAGGUGUGUGUAUGUUUCUCUAGACGGUAUAUUAACUCGGCUUUGAACUAGUCCACUCAGAACCGAUACCAGGACUCCUAAUAACUACUGCAGAACAACCUGUUGUGAUCAUGCUGUUUGUCUGGUUUUGCGUUUUUGUUUCUGCUUUCACCGGCCGCUUUGUAACUGGACAAUCUCCUCCUCCUCUGCCUCCCGGUAGCCCACAAGAAGUCCCGGUGAACCGCACUGAUGUUUUAGAAGCGGCACAGUUUGCUGUGGUUGAAUUCAACAAAGCCAACACAGAAGACCUGUUUAAUUACGCAAUUCUGGACAUAACAUCGGCUCAAGUUCAGGUUGUUGAUGGAUCGAAACCAACCUC